CAGUAGCCGCGGGAAAACGUAGGUGGCAAGCGUUGUCCGGAAUUAUUGGGCGUAAAGGGCUCGCAGGCGGUUUCUUAAGUCUGAUGUGAAAGCCCCCGGCUCAACCGGGGAGGGUCAUUGGAAACUGGGAAACUUGAGUGCAGAAGAGGAGAGUGGAAUUCCACGUGUAGCGGUGAAGUGCGUAGAGAUGUGGAGGAACACCAGUGGCGAAGGCGACUCUCUGGUCUGUAACUGACGCUGAGGAGCGAAAGCGUGGGGAGCGAACAGGAUUAGAUACCCCUGUAGUCCCUGUCUCUUAUAC
rnacentral:rRNA from 1 species